AACCUUAUGGACCUGCGGGCGUAUACCUGCGGAAGGAUCAUUAAUCAAAAAUUGGUUUACGCCGGGGGGUCUUUCCCCCGGUUGUCUGCCUUUUUUCUUUUUCCUAUUCAUGCCCUUUGACUGAAUAAAUCUUUGAAAUAUAACCUAAAUACAACUUUCAACAAUGGAUCU
rnacentral:misc_RNA from 1 species